GACCCAUAGCUCAGGGGAAGAGCGCCAGUCGUUGUGCUGGAGGCCUCCGGUCGAGACGGAGUGGGUUCGCCA
rnacentral:tRNA from 1 species